UGUCAUUCAAGUGGUUUGCGUACACUGGUUUAUCAACGACUGUGACAUCAGAAUUUUUAACGAUGCAGCUUCGUCCUACAAGUAUUUUGGGAUUGGUCAUCAUUUUCCCUCGCGUUUGCUGGUCUCGGUACGAAGCUCUCUCAGGUGAUCAAGUAUGGGAAUUACAAGGAGAGGUUGGACUUGUAUCAACAAUGCUCCGUAGCAAGGGACUCGUUGACAUAUUGGACGAAUCUGGAUCCAGGAGGAUGAUUAGAGUCCGUGCUAAACACUCGACAGAAGUCCUGUUGACGCUGCUUCAGAACAAUCUGUCCUACAAGAUUCUGGUUGAAGAUCUCGCCUCUUACCUGAAGGUCGGUAUGCAGUCAAUGGAGACGAUUUCUUGAUAACUUUCUUAGGGAGGAAUAAUUAUUCUGUUUUACUCACUCGCAGAAACAUAGUAACUUAACAUGAUUAACUGGUUUGUGAUAAAUGGGAGCAAGUUCUUAAAUGUUGGUCUAUCUCCCAUAACUCGCUUCGACUAGGUUGGCCAAGACACCAUUGCUGGAAAUAAGCAUAGCCACUGUGACAGUCUAAUGAAGAUUGCCUCUCUUUUGCAGCCUCUUUUCUUUAUUAGCACAUACACUGAAUAAGUUGGUAUAAUGAAUAUAGUAUAACACCGCUGUCCAUCCUCAUCACAACUCCUUCCACCAUUUCAUUGUAAUGAGGGGUACCAUGUCUGGCAUGCGGC